AACGCACAUUGCGCCCGCCAGCAUUCUGGCGGGCAUGCCUGUUCGAGCGUCAUUUCAACCCUCAAGCUCUGCUUGGUGUUGGGGCCCUACAGCUGAUGUAGGCCCUCAAAGGUAGUGGCGGACCCUCCCGGAGCCUCCUUUGCGUAGUAACUUUACGUCUCGCACUGGGAUCCGGAGGGACUCUUGCCGUAAAACCCCCCAAUUUUCCAAAGGUUGACCUCGGAUCAGGUAGGAAUACCCGCUGAACUUAA
rnacentral:misc_RNA from 1 species